rnacentral:snoRNA from 1 species
GUGAGGUGAUGAUGAAGUUUAUCCAUUCUCUGAGUGCAGUGGCACUGCCCUCCUGCAGCACCCUGAUUCCUGUUCUAGGAUCUGGGUGCUGUGCAGCCUCCAGAGACCCUGCAGUCUCCCAGUGUCCUACUGGGGGCUGCUGGGGCCUGUGGCUGACUG